GGCCCCAUCGUCUAAUGGCAAGGACGUCAGUUUCUCAAGCUGAAAAUAGGGGUUCAAAUCCCCUUGGGGCCACAA
rnacentral:tRNA from 1 species